CUCCUCCACUCAGGGCUUUGCCCAGGAGCCCCAUGGGCAGGUGGUAAUCAGGGAGCUUCAAAGCAGCCGUGUGCUGCUGACCAGAGCAGCUGGGCGCUGAUGAAGAGGCACUGUUUGCUGGGUGGGCUUCUGGGCAGAGCAGGAUGCUGCAGUGCUCUGCUUUGUGCUCAGCAUUGUGGCUCCACAAAUCAGGACAGCCAGAGGCCAGGGAAGAUUUCUUCCAUUUCUUUUUACUUCACUCCAUUGCAUUUCUUACUCAGUUUUCUUGGCUGGAUCUAAACACUGGCGCUGGUGGGGUGUGUUUCCAGCAGGGAGCAAGGGGAGCUUGCAACCAGCAGGAGCUUUGCAGCACAGCAAGUGGCAGAAACUGAAACAUGUAAGGACAACACUGAGGAAGAAGAGGGAGAAAUUCAGCAAACUUUCUGGGUUGACACCAGGACUGCUACCAGAUCCCAUCCUCUUUUAUCUCGUGGGAGAGGGCUGUGCUUGCAGGCUGCUGCUAGAGGGCAUCAAAGCACAACGCAGCCCCUGACAGCUUCACUCGGGCUGCAGGGGGGUCGGAGGUCUUCAGCAGGACACGUUUGGUUUGCUCGGAGGACUGCCUGGUACCCACUGACAGCUGCAUGGGAUGAAGGAGGUUUGUGCAUGGAACACGUCUGAUACCGAUACAGCACAGGUCAAGUGUGUUUUAUAGGGAAAACAGUGGGAAGGAGCAAAACGUGGGAGCCUGGAGCCAGGAGGGUUUCCCUGGCAUUUGAAAAAGGAUGGAUUUUUUUUAGGAAGAUUCCCAUCCCACCUCAUUGUUCUCACUGCCCACAUCCCUCAGUGCCACAUCCCCAUGGAUCUGAACCACCCCCCAGGGACGGUGACCCUCCUGCUCCCUGGGCAGCUCUAUGGGAGCUGCUGAGUCACGGCCUGAACCUCAGAUUGAUCACCUGAGCAAGCACUGGGUCAGCCCUGGGAGCACAGCUGAAGGCCAUUCUGUGCUGAUGGAACAGGUGGAGCCUGGCUGCACCUCUCCUACAGCCAUUUAAGAGCUGGCCACAAGUGGGGAAGGAUCUCUUCUGGAUAUCCCUCCUGUGGAGUUUUGCAGCGAGCCCAGGACACAAGUAAGCAUUCUAUCUAUUUUCUUUUUGGUAUAAUAACUUGCUUAGCCAAACUCUCUUGUUUAUUUCGUAAUUAUAACAUCUGUGUAGUCAUUGAUUAUACAGUAGCCCUUUCUAUCUUUCUUGCUUUGGCUGGUGCUAGCAGAUGGUGAAGGAUGUGCUAUGCUUCCAGCAUUGCUACAUCUUCAAAGCAAAUCUGGGUUCUAACCCUGCAGGUCCACCCAGAAGCUGGGAGAAGCCUUCCUAGGAGCUCAGAACACAUUCACGUGUGUUCAGGGGUUAUUUUAGUAUUUCACCAAUAGACCAGGAAAUGGCUGCCCAUUCUCAAACAUGUCCUGAUCUUAGGUUAUGGGUGAGACCUACCAGCCCAGAAGGGAUAAACAAGUAGAGGUGUGUCAGAUUGAUGCUAUUGGUGAAAGUGUUGAUGUGUCCCUAUGCAGAUGUGCCAGAAGUGGUUUUGGUGAGGAGCAGUAAGCAGCAGCUCAACGUGUGAUGGGUGCAGCCUGUUAUAGGAGAGAUGCUGGCUGUUUGUGGCAGAAAAAUGCAACCCUGGACAAUUAAAAACGCAUUAAAUCCAGUUCAUUGGGCAUUGAGGGUAUUCAUCUCAUUAAAAUCCCCUGGCACAGAAGCUCAUGCAGGAUACUCUCAUGACCCCAGGAUGAAGAAAGGUUGCUGGGCUACCCCUGCAGGCACCUUAUCUAUUUUCCUACCAAACUCCUGCUGCUGCUGUUUGGAGGAUUUUGGUGUGGAGCAGCACUGCAAGCACAGGGAAACCAAGUGGUAGUGCAGCAAAACUUAAACAGAUCUUGAAGUCAAGCAGGGAGUCAUGGAAAGUAGCAAUCUUGGCACCACCGAAUGGAAGGCUGGGAGUGGUUCCUACUGCCAGCACCUUCUCAGCAGGGGUUGGACUCCAACUGGAUGUGCCUGCUCCCCAAAUCAGUGCAGUGCACUCGCUGCCUCUCCUUAUCAGCCCCGGUGCCGGCAGGCUCAUGCUGCAUUGGCCAAUAGCUUGAAAAUGAGAGGAAAAAGCCUCCUUGUCCAACUGCGCGAAUCCCCACCAGCAUCUUCCAGGAAGGGAUUUCUCCCCUCCAGUCUGAAGUGACUGUAAUGCCAGGGCUGCCCGCCCGUGCCUAAUGCUUCUGCCCACUGGGUCUGUGCUCACUGCCUGCCUUCUUGCUGCCCUAAAUGAGCCUUGUUAUGUGUCCUCUGCUUCUAUUUUUAUUAAAAAUCUGAUGCGUUGCCAAUUUGCCCUCUUGCCAGCAGCAGCCAUAAGUAUCCUCCAGAGAAAUAAACGGAGGCAGCCUUGAAUAAUCUACAAGCAGAGAUUAUUAUCUGGGUUACAUCCUUUAAAGUAUAUAUAGCUGAAAAGGAAGGGCUUGGUGGAUCUGGGAGGAGGUAAGAGAUCUCUGCUGUGAUUAACACCAGGGAAGUUUUCUUUACGCCCCUUGCUGCUCUGAGCAUGGGAGAAGAUGGGAUGCUCAUAAACCUCCCCAAAGUUGAGGUCCUCCUAAUGAUGCCCUACAGAAGUUCCUAGAUCGUGGUCUUUGACCAAAACAUCCAUUUUUAACACCAGGCAGCCAAAGAGGAUUCAUGUUAUUUCUGUGUUUUAGCUGUUUGAUUGAGAAAGAGAUGCUGAUGAGAUCUGUGUUCUUGUUAACCUUGAUUUCCAGAAGGAAAUAAGUGUAUGCCUUAUCACAAUAGCAGUUUUAAAGAACGAGCAAAUCUAAAUUAAUGAAAGCCGUACAAUCAGCCUGCUGGUAUAAAUCAUGUUAUUUUGUAGGAGAUGUUGACAGAUGACAUCCAAAAGUGUAGAAAAGAAGAAAACAAUCAAAGCAAGCCCUUUCCUGCAGCUCUCCUGGGAGGAACACAAUAUUUGGGAGCUGCAUCAAAUUUCCAUCUCGUAUCAUUCUAACUGUUCUGGGUAAUGGGCCACAAGUAGCCACUGACUUAAUGCUAGUAUGAGGAUGAAAUAUCCACGUAGGAAUUUGUCUUAUCUUCCUUGUAUUCCCAUUUAUGUCAUGAACUUCAGCUGCUCUAUCAGUUUUCUGCCAGUGUCGAUCCAUCCUGAAGGUCUUUCUGCAGAUCUGAGGAGCACCAUGGUCUCUGUCUCUCUCUCUCUAUUUUUUUUUAAACUGCUUUUUAAAGUGCCACUGUGUUCUUUUGGAGUCGUAUUAACCAUGCAAUAAAUUUGCAUAAUGUGGAUCCAUAAUGUUUAAUCAAAGCCUCUCUGGAAAGCAGUUAUUGUCCACGAGCUCUCAUAAAUUCCCACUAUCACCUCCAUGUUAAAUACUAAAGCUGCUCAGGGUGUAUUGUGCACUAAUCACCUGCAACAUUGAGUUUGAGAGAAAUUAUCCUUUUCCUCUCCCUUCUCUUUCCAUAUGAGCAACCUGAAAGCCCUGUGCGGAGGCAUUUUUAGCAAGAAGUGCUAACCUCUCCAGUUUUAAGUCUUCCUGGUGAAUCAUUUGGGUUAUUUGGCCCCACUGUGGUGAGCGAACAGAUGAUGUGUGCUCAGGCAUCUGCACUCCAGAGGUAGGUGGAGAGCUGAGCGUCAAACUUGUUUGCACUCAGAAAACGUAAGACUCAAUUAAUUCCUGGGUUUCUUUCUUCGUUAUUUAAUUCCCUUUAAAUGAGUUAGGCAGUGAAGCAUGAUAGGGGAGGCUGGUGAGCCACCAUUGCACCCAUGGAGUGAGCCC